CUUGUUAUAUACGUGUUUUAUUCAUUUUUUGACUUCGCGUAUCUCUAACUCUCUUUUAUUCCCACACCAUUCUUUUCAUACAUAUAAAAUGCUGUUUGUUGUUUCGUCGAAGGAGUUUUAGCGAGAACGGGUUAGUCGUUGGUCAGGGGCAGAGUUCGACUAAUUUUUAACACAAGUGUCGCGCCAAUGCGACAUUGGGUUAAAGUUAAAAGAUUGAAGAUAAGCGAAACGCUUUAAUAGUUAUUCCUAAUAGAUUCAACGGGGGCGUUCCUCUAUCUUGAAAUUCCCUUCGAAGUACUUUUAUCUGUUUCAAUUAAUUCACCAGGUUUCACGUUCAAUUAACAAAAGCGUUUAAUUAAAAUGUUAACUACAGAACUUCAAAGUGUAAACACUUUGAAGCGAGAAUUGACAUCGCAAAAGAGGAGAAAACGGAGGAUUUUAACAUGUGAAGUCUGAAUGUUCCACCUUGGUGUCGCAGUUGCGCUAGUUCCGACAGAUGGAUAUCCGUUCCGACCUGGCUAAAGUGAAUAAGCAAUCUCUGAAUGCAAGUGCUGAAUACAAGUUUCGUAGGUCCUCUUUAGCAGACCAACUACAAAAGGCCGAAACAAACACGACGAAACUGUUAUUAAUGUUUCUCUGUAUCGUGAAAACGUCCGUGAAAGUGUUUCUUUAUUUUAAGAAAUUAUUAAAAUAAUGACGUCGUUGUUUCAAAGCAACUGGCGGGAAAUUUAAAACUGCACGAAAGAAAAGAACCGAGGGUACUUUUAAAAUCGUGUUCUUUUUAAACGUUUUUCUUUGACAGGCACGGGUAUCGAUUAAUGUAAUUCAAUAACGACUAAUAACGAUAUAACAGAAAAGAUUAUCCUAUAAACUCUUUUCUUAAUGUAGAAUAUCUUUAUUAUUUCGAGUAUUAAGCGAAAAUUGAAAACAUUGAAAAUAUCGCUGUUCCGAAUAAAAAUAUUUCGUCCAUAAAUAAAAAUUUGUAGAUUUAAAAAGAACCAAACAGCGCAAGAGAAACGAAAUAGAAUAUUAUCAAAUAGUAGAUGAAGUUAUUUAAGGAGUUAAUGCAAUUUAUCUAAUAACCUAAUAUAACCAUUCACUGUGCUGAUAGAACUAUUGGAUAGCUCUAUCUAACCUAGCUAAUAAACUUAUGGCAGCUCUAUAUGAGUACUUAACGAAGUUAUCUGAACGGCUAAUUAAACUACCUAAGAAAUUAAUGCAGUUACCUGAUGAACUGAUAAGCUUACGCAGGAAGAAAUCUGAAAUUUAUGAUCGAUGACUUUGUUACUUGUCAAUUUACUAAUAUUGCGAUUUGCUAAAUUUUGAAACUAAAUUCCACGAAUCGGAAGCGAUUUAAUCGUUUAAAGUAAAAUUAUAAAAUUAAAAAAGGGGAUAGGUAUGAUCUGUAAUUCUUUGCUUAUCAAUUCGUUAAUAUCAUUAAUUGGUAAUUUAUCGAUCAAGAGGUCUUCGAUGGUAACACAGCGUGAUUUAAAACUCUUGCAUGGUGCCUCAUAUUUUUAUAUACUAUUUUAUUUAUUCACCUGCACGGCAUACGGUCUAUUUACAGCAAUUAUUGGCUUCUAGUUUCUGGAUUAAAUUGAGAAACUGCAAUCGAUUACUCUGCUUUAUUUCUCACUACUAAGCGAACAAACUUCUAUUUAUUCUACCGAUACGACAAGCAAACUGCGAAUAGUACGCGUGAACAUAGGAAAUAUCCAAAGCGUAGUUACGUUCACAAUUCAAUAGGUAAAAGAAAUUUCUACUCAACCUUCACUUUUUACGUCAUACCCAUAAAAAUAUGAAUUCGGCAUAAACAUCGCACUCUGUGCAGACGAUGUCUGAUCUUCCGGUUUGUUUUACAAGUGACUGCGAGCGAGUUAGAUGCAGUGAUCCGACGAGGAAUCGCGACAAUACCAACCGAUUUACCAGCGAAUAAUACGGUUGAACACGAGUCAACUAUCGCAUAGAGACAAUCUCAAGGGUACACUGCCCGAGGAAAUAGAGACUAUUGACCUGUGAUGAAGCAUUGGUACCUCUGGAUCGAUUACACUCCAUACAGCAUCUUCGACCAUCUUAACAGCUAACUAGUGGAAAUACACACAUCGACUGACGAAAGUAUUCGAAAUUUCGCUGGCUCUGUAACGAGACGUAGCUAUCGUGUUU